rnacentral:rRNA from 1 species
UGCCAGCCGCCGCGGUAAUACGGGGGGAGCAAACGUUGUUCGGAAUCACUGGGCGUAAAGGGCGCGUAGGCGGCCCGACAAGUGGUGUGUGAAAGCCCCUGGCUCAACCAGGGAACUGCGCUCCAAACUGUCGGGCUUGAGGGCAGUAGAGGUAACUGGAAUUCCAGGUGUAGCGGUGAAAUGCGUAGAUAUCUGGAAGAACACCGUUGGCGAAGGCGAGUUACUGGGCUGUCCCUGACGCUGAGGCGCGAAAGCUGGGGGAGCAAACAGGAUUAGAUA